GCUGUAGUGUACUGGCCUAGCUCUAAAACUUUGCAGUACAUCACUUAUUUUUAACUUUCACUUUUUUUCUCUUUUCUUCUUUUGGAGAAAGAAAGCCUGACAGGUUUCUUCGGAAAAGUGGCCAUCCAUGGAAUGAAUGAAAUGUUCUCUUUCUAUUCCAGGGAUUGCAGUGGCAAAGCUAGGCUAGGUCUUGGAGGCUGGUGUAAGGCGAUGUGGGUGAAGGCAGGAGGCUGAUGGAAAGACUGGGGGGAAGAAAAGCCGAAAUGGAUUCACGGUGCCUUGGAUGAAGGACGAGAGGGGAACUGCAAGCUCCUUCAACUGGUUCUGUCCGGUGAGAAGUGAUCAAGCUUGGGCUGACAAGAGGCUCAGGGAGCCCUCACGUUCUUUCGCUUUUUUACCUGCCAAUCAAACUGCUACAAGACAACACCCUGAUCUGGCAUGGACAUCGCGGGUCCAAGCCUGUAGCCCCAAAUCGGAUAAUCUCUGCAGCUGAUAACAAGCAAAAGAGAAGCCAGGCAACAGCCAUAUUAAAGAAGAAAACAAUCAACUCUGAGAUCCAACUUAGAAAUAAUGUUUCAUUCAAGAUAAGGCUCGUGGCUUAGGAGAUUGUGACCUGGCUUGCAUCAUUCUAAGACUUCUAUCGUCUGUUUUCAAAACCCAAGGAGGACCUCCUUUUCUGUGUGAUAGUUCCUCAUGCUUUGCCAGCCACUGGGUCUUUAAGGAAGCUUGCCAAGAGUUCCCGGCUGGGAAGGACAGUUCGAGUUCAUCAUAGACAAUGAGCUGGCACCACAGUUUAAGUGACUCACCAACCUGGUUGCCCACUUCAAAAUGUCAAGAACCACACUAUCUAAUUGAAAGAACUGUGUUUUAGCAAAGUGUAAUUGGAUCGCCUGGCAAGAUCAUCUCAAACUAUGUCUCUGACCUUGCCUUUCAGUGGCUAUUUUGAGCACAAGAGGAGAAAGGAAAUGAUUCCUGAAUUAUAUCUUGUUUUUAAAAAUUAAGAUUAAUUAAUACUUGGUUUUAUGUUCAUUCCAUUGUAGGAACUUAGUGAUUAUUACAAAACAGUCAAAAUAGGUCAUAGCAAAAUGAACGUUUAAGAUUAGGUUAAAACAUUCCUCUGAAAUUUUAGUAUUCACUUUUGAAGUGUCAAUUACUAUAUUUCUGUAAUUUCUCAUUUUUUUCUUGGCUUAGAGUCAAGAUGAAAAAUGAUAUUUGAAUCAAAGACAUUGUUUUGUUAUAUAGCCACUCCUUUCUAAAAUGCAAAUCCACCCUCCCCUCACCAAUGCUUUAUUCUUUGUGCGCGCACACACACACACACACACACACACACACACACACACACACAGACAUACACAGAACCAGCACCCAAAUGGUAGAGGAGGUCCUUCCAAGACUUCUAGGACCUGGAUCAUGUAAGCAGUAGAUGAGAAAAUGAAGUAAGAGAUAUAGAGUAAUAACAAUAAAAGUCAAUGAUUUCAUUUUACAAAAAAGUCAUUGUGUAGUACUCAGAUAUUUUUAAGAGCAAGUAUUAUUAUGACUAAAGUAUAUUAUACUUCUAAAUUAUUAUGAUUCUCAUCUAAUUUCAAGCCACACAUAGGCGCCAUUUGAAAGCAUUUUGUGUUACAACCUAUCAACAAAAAUCAACUAAUAGUUUUAUAACGUGCAUAGGUUUACCCCAUGGGGAAUUAAAAUUUUUAUCUGCAAGUAUUUCUGUUGUUGUGAGACUUUAGGACAAGACAACAUUUGGUGUUAACAUAGAAGAAUAUUCUAUGGCUUUUUUAGCUUUAAAGUUCAUUACUCUAAAAUAAAGUACACGUGGUAUUUUUUUCUUCCUAGUGUUCUCUUAUUAUAUGUAGAGUAUUUUCGGUUGUUGUUUUUAACGUAUACAUUAUUUUUAUUAAGUCAUUUCAUAAAAGAUAAGAUAUAUACUAAUAGACCCUUGGUUUUCUCCUAAUUUAAUUAUUUCAAGUCAAGCAAAAUUGGGCAAUUUUCUUUCAGGAAAAAAAAAAUAUUGAGCAUGAUUUUGAGGUAAAACUGAUUAUUUACAGCAUCUUUUCUCUAAUAGGCUAACAUUUAUGAUGGAUCUUAUUUCAAAGUUGAUUAUUCUCAAAGAAAAGUGGAGAUAUUAGAAUUUCCGAGUAAAUUGCAUUGUUUUAAAAAGUACUUUAAUGCAUUGUUCACAUUGUUGCCAGCUAUUGACCAAAAAAGAGAAGAAGAAAAAAGAAAUAAAAAAAGCAGUAUCUGCUCCAAACGUCAAGUUUUGCAGUUUGAAAGACUUGUACAUUAUAAUUGUUUUUUUCUUUUUUGGAAAGCAGUAGUAAUUAAUACCAAAGGCAUAGACAAUUUAGGGCCAUAACCUCCCUUCCCCCCUCUCCACCUUUUUUUUUUUUUUUUUUUUUUUUUAACUUUAACCAUGAUAGGCAUCUCUGCAAGGUAGGUUUUAACAUAUUUUUUUCCUAAUUUUUUUCCCUCCAUUCAGUAAGAAGGAUAAGCUUUUAGAGUACCCAGUCACCGUGGUAACUGCCAAAAAAAUUCUCCUGAAGUUUGAAGAGGUCAGCUAGCAGGGUCAACAACCCUGGCCUCUCUCUGAGCUCGGUCUAGCAUGCCCCAGCCUGCGGUUGGAGUGUCAGGCCAGAUCUGACCCUGGGAGGUGGACCAUUCUGGCUCUGAUAUAAAUUUUUCGAGUCAGUUCAUGGCCUGGACUCUCCAGGUGGCCUCCAAAAUCGAUUUUGACCCCCUGACCCUGUCUCACGGAGGCAUAGCAUCCACCCUAAGUAAGGAUUUAGCCAGGAAUGACAGCUUUCCACUGAGUGUUAUUGGGGACAGUAUAAACAGUUUGGAAAGCAAGUAAGGAGGUGUGAGGGCUAGCAAUCAUUAAAAGCACAUUAAAAAACAAUUUUUAAAAAUCUUUAUUAGAGAAAGUUGUAAAUGCAUAUCUGUUACAGAAUUCCUGUGAUUUGUAGAGUUUUCUAGUCAGUUUUGAAUAUAAAUAGGUCACAUAUCUUUAUCUUUUUGCAUACUUUGUUACAAAUAUGCAAAUAAGAUAGGCAUACUUGCUACAAAAUAGGUACAGCAGGAAUGUAAUAUGUUCAGAAAAGGCAAACUGGUUAUUAAAACACAUUAACAGGUAAGGAGUUUCUAAUAUUUUAAAUACUAAAAUUUUACAUGUGUAUUUUGAAGUUUUUAAAAUGGAAAAAUAAAGAACCUUUAAAAAACCCAACAGUGUGGAAUAAAGAUAAACUUGUUGCACUCAAGGUACAUUUCUACUUUGUAAAGCAAGAAGCCAAUACACUCAGUUGGAUAAAAAUGAGAGAAAAAUUGUAAAUAUAGAGAGUUACAGCUUAUAGAGCUGAAGAGGAAUAAAACAAAAAAAAGUGUCUCUGAAUAACUUUAUGUAUUUUCAACAGUUUAAGAUAUCAGAAACUUGGAAAAUAAAUAUGAUAUAUAUAUAAAUCAUCAGUGAUUAUUUCCUUUUCAUUCCCCCCCGCCCCCAGGAUGCCACCGUGAGUGUUUGAUUUUCUCUAGGAAAGUAGAAUUCUCUUUGAGAGUUCUAGCCUGUGAACUCAGUAUGUAAAUGUGGCCAUCAAGAAGACAGAACUGCCAAGAGGAAAGAUUAUGAAUGUUUUUCUUCCUUAAAACCAUUCACAGUGUUUCUUCUUCCAGUGCUUUACUCAGACUUCUCCCCUUUUCCCAGCUCUGUUGAAAAUGGCUUCAAAAGCAACACUGCAGUGGCUAAACCAAUUGUACUGUGAAGUUGUUGAGAUGCCAUUUCAUCUGAAUCCUUCGUAAAAAUUAGAUUUUUAAGUAGGGGUGAAUAUCCUUUUGGGAGAGGGAAUGGGAGGGUAGAAGAAGGGGGGAAAGGACAGAGCA
rnacentral:lncRNA from 1 species